CCUACGGGAGGCAGCAGUAGGGAAUAUUGCUCAAUGGGGGAAACCCUGAAGCAGCAACACCGCGUGAGUGAAGAAGGGUUUCGGCUCGUAAAGCUCUGUUGUUGGAGAAGAACGUGCGUGAGAGUAACUGUUCACGCAGUGACGGUAUCCAACCAGAAAGUCACGGCUAACUACGUGCCAGCAGCCGCGGUAAUACGUAGGUGGCAAGCGUUAUCCGGAGUUAUUGGGCGUAAAGCGGGCGCAGGCGGUUGCUUAGGUCUGAUGUGAAAGCCUUCGGCUUAACCGAAGAAGUGCAUCGGAAACCGGGCAACUUGAGUGCAGAAGAGGACAGUGGAACUCCAUGUGUAGCGGUGGAAUGCGUAGAUAUAUGGAAGAACACCAGUGGCGAAGGCGGCUGUCUGGUCUGCAACUGACGCUGAGGCUCGAAAGCAUGGGUAGCGAACAGGAUUAGAUACCCGUGUAGUC
rnacentral:rRNA from 1 species